CCUACGGGAGGCAGCAGUGGGGAAUAUUGCACAAUGGGGGCAACCCUGAUCCAGCCAUGCCGCGUGUAUGAAGAAGGCCCUCGGGUUGUAAAGCACUUUCAGUGAGGAAGAACGCCUGGUGGUUAAUACCCAUCAGGAAAGACAUCACUCACAGAAGAAGCACCGGCUAACUCCGUGCCAGCAGCCGCGGUAAUACGGAGGGUGCGAGCGUUAAUCGGAAUUACUGGGCGUAAAGCGCGCGUAGGUGGCUUGAUAAGCCGGUUGUGAAAGCCCCGGGCUCAACCUGGGAACUGCAUCCGGAACUGUCAAGCUAGAGUGUAGUAGAGGUAGGUAGAAUUCCCGGUGUAGCGGUGAAAUGCGUAGAGAUCGGGAGGAAUACCAGUGGCGAAGGCGGCCUUCUGGACUGAAACUGACGCUGAGGUGCGAAAGCGUGGGUAGCAAACAGGAUUAGAUACCCGAGUAGUC
rnacentral:rRNA from 1 species